CAGAGAAUAGUUUAACUUAGAAUCCUAGCUUUGGGAGUUAGGGGUAGGUGUUAGAAUCACCUUUCUUUGA
rnacentral:tRNA from 1 species